GAUGAACGCUGGCGGCGUGCUUAACACAUGCAAGUCGAACGAAGCACUUAAGUGAAUUUCUUCGGAAUGAAGCUUUUGUGACUGAGUGGCGGACGGGUGAGUAACGCGUGGGUAACCUGCCUCAUACAGGGGGAUAACAGUUAGAAAUGACUGCUAAUACCGCAUAAGUGCACAGCUUCGCAUGAAGCGGUGUGAAAAACUCCGGUGGUAUGAGAUGGACCCGCGUCUGAUUAGCUGGUUGGUGGGGUAACGGCUCACCAAGGCGACGAUCAGUAGCCGACCUGAGAGGGUGACCGGCCACAUUGGGACUGAGACACGGCCCAA
rnacentral:rRNA from 1 species